rnacentral:rRNA from 1 species
GGUGAACGCUGGCGGCGUGCCUAACACAUGCAAGUCGAGCGGUGCAGUUUGAAGCUUCGGUGGAAAGCUGCAUAGCGGCGGACGGGUGAGGAAAACGUAGGAACGUGCCCCUUGGAGUUGGAUAGCCACGGGAAACUGUGGGUAAACCGACAUAGACUCGAGAGAGUAAAGGCCGAAAGGCGCCAAGGGAGCGGCCUGCGGCCCAUCAGGUAGUUGGUAGUGUAAAGGACUACCAAGCCGACGACGGGUAGCCGGUCUGAGAGGAUGAUCAGCCACACUGGAACUGAGACACGGUCCAGACUCCUACGGGAGGCAGCAGUGAGGAAUAUUGGUCAAUGGGCGCAAGCCUGAACCAGCCAUCCCGCGUGCAGGAAGACGGCCCUAUGGGUUGUAAACUGCUUUUCCAGGGGGAGAAACUUUCCGAUGCAUCGGGAUUUGACGGUACCCUGGGAAUAAGCAUCGGCUAACUCCGUG